GAAGAGCAGCAGGCCUGGCCCAUUUAUUAAAAAGGAAACAAGUCACGCACAAACAUCAAUCCCUUCUCCUUCGCUGGCUCCUUGAAUUACGCCUCGCCCCAAGGGACCCCGACGGACCUACAACGGCAGGGACGCGAGAGCAACUGCAGCAUGGCCGUCCGAGCCGUGUUCAUGGUGAAGGGCAGGCGGUGGAGAUGUGAAGUCCAGGCACUGUUCAAGUCAGGUAAUUCUGCAGGUUGUGGCAUUGCAAGAAUUUUCAUUAUUGGGUAGAUGGAGCAUAUAAUUUCUUCUAAUUUACUCCAAAACCAAGAUUUAAGAAAUCAGGUUCUCUCCUUUUUUUUGUAACAAUGUUGCCAAAAUAGCAAUUAUAUGGUUGUGAGAAAAGAAAAAAGAACUAACAUCUAAAUCAAUUAAUUGAAUCUCAAAACGGUGCUACAUCCUUUACUAGAAGAUAUUUUUGCGUCUAUUAUAGGGGCCCAUUAGAUGAAGCUCGCACAAGGGCCUCUAAGAUCUCAGG